CCUACGGGAGGCAGCAGUGGGGAAUAUUGCGCAAUGGGCGAAAGCCUGACGCAGCCAUGCCGCGUGAGUGAUGAAGGCCCUCGGGUCGUAAAGCUCUGUCGGGAGGGAGGAAGGGUGGCAACACUCUGACGGUACCUCGCAAGAAAGCACCGGCUAACUCCGUGCCAGCAGCCGCGGUAAUACGGAGGGUGCAAGCGUUGCUCGGAUUUACUGGGCGUAAAGCGACCGCAGGCGGUCGAUUAAGUUUGACGUGAAAGCCCCGGGCUCAACUCGGGAAGUGCGUCAAAAACUGGUCGACUUGAGUACGGGAGAGGAGAGUGGAAUUCCUGGUGUAGAGGUGAAAUUCGUAGAUAUCAGGAGGAACACCGGCGGCGAAGGCGGCUCUCUGGCCCGAUACUGACGCUCAUGGUCGAAAGCGUGGGGAGCAAACAGGAUUAGAUACCCUGGUAGUCCACGCUGUAAACGAUGAGUGCUCGCUGAUGGAGGUCUAUACCCUUUCAUUGGCAAAGCUAACGCAUUAAGCACUCCGCCUGGGGAAUACGGUCGCAAGACUAAAACUCAAAGGAAUUGACGG
rnacentral:rRNA from 1 species